rnacentral:rRNA from 1 species
AUUGAACGCUGGCGGCAUGCCUUACACAUGCAUGUCGAACGGCAGCACGGGAGCAAUCCUGGUGGCGAGUGGCGAACGGGUGAGUAAGGUAUCGGAACGUGCCCAGUCGUGGGGGAUAACGUAGCGAAAGUUACGCUAAUACCGCAUACGAUCUAUGGAUGAAAGCGGGGGAUCGCAAGAGCUCGCGCGAUUGGAGCGGCCGAUAUCAGAUUAGGCAGUCGGUGGGGUAAAGGCUCACCAAGCCGACGAUCUGUAGCUGGUCUGAGAGGACGACCAGCCACACUGGGACUGAGACACGGCCCAGACUCCUACGGGAGGCAGCAGUGGGGAAUUUUGGACAAUGGGCGAAAGCCUGAUCCAGCCAUGCCGCGUGCAGGAUGAAGGCCUUCGGGUUGUAAACUGCUUUUGUACGGAACGAAAAGGUUUGGCCUAAUAAGCUGAGCUCAUGACGGUACCGUAAGAAUAAGCACCGGCUAACUACGUGCCAGCAGCCGCAGUAA